GACGAACGCUGGCGGCGUGCCUAAUACAUGCAAGUAGAACGCAGUUGCGAACGGGUGAGUAACGCGUAGGUAACUGCCUCAUCGCGGGGGAUAACUAUUGGAAACGAUAGCUAAUACCGCCUACUGUGAGAUGGACCUGCGUUGUUUUAGCUAGUUGGUGAGGUAAAGGCACACCAAGGCGACGAUACAUAGCCGACCUGGGAGGGUGAUGGACGACACUGAGACUGGGACACGGACCAGAUUCCAACGGGAGCCAGCAGUAGGGAAGCGGCGGCAAUGUACGGAAGUGUUACCGAGCAACGCCGCGUUAGUGAGGAAGGUGUUCGGAUCGUAAAUCUCUGUUGUUAGAUAAGCGGUAACUAAUCAGAAAGGGACGGCUAACUACGUGCCAGCAGCCGCGGUAAUAC
rnacentral:rRNA from 1 species